GAUCCUGGCUCAGGAUGAACGCUAGCGGCAGGCUUAACACAUGCAAGUCGAGGGGCAGCACGAGGUAGCAAUACUUUGGUGGCGACCGGCGCACGGGUGCGUAACGCGUAUGCAACCUACCUUUAACAGGGGCAUAACACUGAGAAAUUGGUACUAAUUCCCCAUAACAUUCGAGAAGGCAUCUUCUUGGGUAAACUAACGUCGGUAAG
rnacentral:rRNA from 1 species